rnacentral:rRNA from 1 species
GACGAACGCUGGCGGCGUGCUUAACACAUGCAAGUCGAACGAAGAGCGAUGGAAUCUUGCUUCUAUCAAUCUUAGUGGCGAACGGGUGAGUAACGCGUAAUCAACCUGCCCUUCAGAGGGGGACAACAGUUGGAAACGACUGCUAAUACCGCAUACGAUCUAAUCUCGGCAUCGAGGAUAGAUGAAAGGUGGCCUCUACAUGUAAGCUAUCACUGAAGGAGGGGAUUGCGUCUGAUUAGCUAGCUGGGGGGGUAACGGCCCACCAAGGCGAAGAUCAGUAGCCGGUCUGAGAAGAUGAACGGCCACAUUGGGACUGAGACACGGCCCAGAAUCCUACGGGAGGGAGCAGUGGGGGAUCUUCCGCAAUGGACGGAAGUCUGACGGAGCAACGCCGCGUGGGGGGAGAAGGGCUUCGGGUUGUAAAGCUCUGUUAAUCGGGACGAAAGGCCUUCUUGCGAAUAGUGAGAAGGAUUGACGGUACCGGAAUAGAAAGCCACGGCUAACUACGUG